rnacentral:rRNA from 1 species
UUUAAGAAGUCAGCGGCGGACGGGUGAGUAACACGUGGGCAACCUGCCUGUAAGACUGGGAUAACUUCGGGAAACCGGAGCUAAUACCGGAUAAUAUAAGGAACCUCCUGGUUCUUUAUUGAAAGAUGGUUUCGGCUAUCACUUACAGAUGGGCCCGCGGCGCAUUAGCUAGUUGGUGAGGUAAUGGCUCACCAAGGCGACGAUGCGUAGCCGACCUGAGAGGGUGAUCGGCCACACUGGGACUGAGACACGGCCCAGACUCCUACGGGAGGCAGCAGUAGGGAAUCUUCCACAAUGGACGAAAGUCUGAUGGAGCAACGCCGCGUGAGCGAUGAAGGCCUUCGGGUCGUAAAGCUCUGUUGUUAGGGAAGAACAAGUGCGAGAGUAACUGCUCGCACCUUGACGGUACCUAACCAGAAAGCCACGGCUAACUACGUGCCAGCAGCCGCGGUAAUACGUAGGUGGCAAGCGUUGUCCGGAAUUAUUGGGCGUAAAGCGCGCGCAGGUGGUCCUUUAAGUCUGAUGUGAAAGCCCACGGCUCAACCGUGGAGGGUCAUUGGAAACUGGGGGACUUGAGUGCAGAAGAGGAAAGUGGAAUUCCAAGUGUAGCGGUGAAAUGCGUAGAGAUUUGGAGGAACACCAGUGGCGAAGGCGACUUUCUGGUCUGUAACUGACACUGAGGCGCGAAAGCGUGGGGAGCAAACAGGAUUAGAUACCCUGGUAGUCCACGCCGUAAACGAUGAGUGCUAAGUGUUAGAGGGUUUCCGCCCUUUAGUGCUGCAGCUAACGCAUUAAGCACUCCGCCUGGGGAGUACGGUCGCAAGACUGAAACUCAAAGGAAUUGACGGGGGCCCGCACAAGCGGUGGA